GUUAGCGCCACUUUUUGCCACCAGGCGGCAGGUUGUAAUAAUAUUUUGGUAUAAACAGUUUUGCAAAUGCGGUAAAAAGAUUUUAAAUAAAGAUGAACCCUACUAGUUUGUAUGUUUCAACUUGUAGAUUAAUAAUUUCAGCUGAUGCAAAUGAUAAAAGUUCGUGGUCAGAUUUGUUUCGCGUACUUCCAUAUUUACGGCAAUCAUUAUCGUGUAUCGUGUGUGGAAACUUAUUGAAGGAGCCCUAUACACCGAACUUAGGGUGCCAACAUCACGUUUGCAAAAAUUGCAUACAAUGGAGGAAAAAAAUUAAACCGCCUUGCUCUUGGUGUGCGGACUGCGAGGACUAUACAGAAAACAUUCAGUUACGCAUUCUCCUCCAGUGUUACAAUAAACUUUGUGAAUAUUUUAUGGCCACUGAUAUGUAUAACAGUUUAUUAGAGGAAGAUGAAGUAGAGAUGAACGGUGGCACAGUGGCGAGUUCGGGGCUGAUAUUCUUGAUUCAAGAGGGAGCUGGUUUUUUCGAUGAUUACAGGAGCAAAGCUGGUUUACCCCAGUCUGCAUAUAGCAAAUUACCUUGUGCAUUCACCAAUAUACCAACAACACAAACACAAGUCGCAUCAACAUCAAGUUCGGAAAAUAACACCACUGUCACAAGGAAAGAUGUUAAUGAAACUUCUUCUCCUCCUGCAGAAACAAAUAUAAGAGAAAGCCAAGCAAAGAAGAAGUACAUUCAAUGGGAUCAUAAGAAACCUUCAUACGGCUCCCGGACCUCAGCUAAUAAAAAAAAAGGUUGCAGAUGUGGGUAUUCUUCGCCCGCACCCGGGAUAUUGACGUGUUGCGGCCAGAGAUGUCUGUGCUAUGUUCAGAGGAAGCCAUGUACUGAAUGCAAGUGUAAGGGCUGUAGAAAUCCUCACAGGACUGGACUUACAAAGGGUGGCUUCCACAAAGCUGGAACGAGUGCCGAGGGACCGUCUGGUAACGGAGGAGGACUGGCGGCGCAUUAGAGACAGAAAAAGUUUAUAAUGUAAUUUAUUUUUGAGAGUUUCACAGUCUGUUAAGGAUGUUAGUGCAAGAUUAGUCAUUAAUGUAAGAGUCAAGUGAUUAAAAUAAUCACCAAAUCCUGAAUCUUAAAACUUGGGUAUCUUCAAAAUUAUUUAUAUUUAAAAAAAAAUCUCUUGUAUAUUGAGAGAUUCUUAUUCUUGAUGUAGGGGCUCUGCAGGUCUUCAUGAGGUCCCUUUAUGACGUUGACCGUUCCUGAUCUAUUGUGAUCGCCAUAUUGAAAGAUUACACAAUGAACUGUUAAAUAGUCAGUUCAUAGUUUAUUAUUAUGUAUUUUUUUUGAUUUUUAUUAUGUAAUUUAUUUUCGAGAGCUAAAUAGUUUUUUAUGGAUGUUAGUGUAAGAUUAGUCCAGUGAUUAAAAUCAUAGCUGUUUUAAUCAACAAAUCUUAAAACUUGGGUAUCUUCAAACUUAUAAAAAACUUCCCUUGUAUAUUGAGAUAUUCUUCUUUUUCUUGAUGUAGAGGCUCUGCAGGUCUUCAUGGGGUCCUUUAUUGACCGUUUCUGAUCUAUUGUGAUCGCCAUAUUGAAAUAUUACACAAUGAACUGUUAAAUAGUCAGUUCAUAGUUCAUUAUUAUGUAUUUUUUUGAUUUUUAUUAUGUAAUUUAUUUUCGAGAGCUUCGCAGUUUGUUAUGGAUGUUAGUGUAAGAUUAGUCAUUAAUGUAAGAGUCAAGUUCUCUUGUGUAUUGAAAGAUUCUUCUUGACUUCUUGAUGUAGCGGCUCUGCAGAUCUUCAUGAGGUCCUUGUAACACGUUGACCUCUCCCGAUCUAUUGUGAUCGCCAUAUUGAAAUAUUACACAUUGAACUGUUAAAUAGUCAGUUCAUAGUUUAUUAUUAUUUAUUUUUUUGAUUUUUAUUAUGAAAUUUAUUUUCGAGAGCUUCAUAGUUUUUUAUGGAUGUUAGUGUAAGAUUAGUCAUUACUGUAAGAGUCCAGUGAUUAAAAUCAUAGCUGUUUUAAUCACCAAAUCUUAAAACUUGGGUAUCUUCAAAAUUAUUUAUAUAUAUAAAAAAAAAACUUCUCUUGUAUAUUGAGAGAUUCUUCUUAUUCUUGAUGUAGCGGCUCUAUAUGACGUUGAUGUUUACGAUCUAUUGUGAGCGGCAUAUUAAAAGAUUACACAACGAACUGUUAAAUAGUCAGUUUAUCUAUCUUGACAAUACAUUAGUAAUGAUUGGCCAAGUGUGUGUCGGGCCAAGUGCAUAAGAAAGGGAUUUGCCAAAAACUUCAAUGUAAUGUGUGUAGUCGUUUAAAUUUUCAAUUUAUAAUUUAUAAUAUAUGGUUGUUAAAUAAGUAUUUACAAAACCCACUAAUCAAAUUUGCAUUUGUGCACAGCACCCUACUAUUUGUCUGGCCCAAUACGACCUUUGCCGGUUUUUGCUAUAUUAGAAAUAUUACUUCAAAAUUACUAUAGAGAUAGUAUUUGAAGAAGACGUACCUAAAUAUUUUGCCAAAUUUUGUACAAAGUUCAAAUUGUAAUGUUUAAAACUUUUAUCUAGAUUUAUAUGUGAUAUAGAUAGUGACCAAAUCUACGUGAGGACAGUUUUAUUGGUGUGUGUCACUUUGGGUAUACUUGUGUCGUGGGACCAUUGGAAUUGUGAUUUUUGAGAGAUGAAUUUUGUGGAUAUUUGAUGGGUAGUAGAAGGUUUUAGAGACAGAAACAGUUUAUUGAACUCGGUACUACUACUAAUCGAAGUAUACUUUCAACUCCUAUUUCACCCCUUUCUAAUUUUAUUUUCGCGGUAAAAAUUAUACAUAUUAUAAGUAUGUAUAAUUAUUGUAUAUAGAUUCAAUGGCGAAGCUACCCAGGGUCUAGGUGGUGCAAUGUCCCGGGGCCUUUAUGCUCAGAGGGCCCUCGAAUCCUUACCAGGAAAUCGCGAUCGAACUCAACUUAAAAAAAAUCGAAAACUUAAAAAUGCUGACGAUAAAGUAGCUUGGCAUAUUUAUGUAUAUGUAUAUAUUUGACGGCCUCCGUGGCGCAGUGGUAUGCGUAGUGGACUUACAAGAUGGAGA
rnacentral:misc_RNA from 1 species